rnacentral:rRNA from 1 species
GGUAUCCUGUCUGAAUAUGGGGGGACCAUCCUCCAAGGCUAAAUACUCCUGACUGACCGAUAGUGAACCAGUACCGUGAGGGAAAGGCGAAAAGAACCCCGGCGAGGGGAGUGAAAAAGAACCUGAAACCGUGUACGUACAAGCAGUGGGAGCACGCUUAGGCGUGUGACUGCGUACCUUUUGUAUAAUGGGUCAGCGACUUAUAUUCUGUAGCAAGGUUAACCGAAUAGGGGAGCCGAAGGGAAACCGAGUCUUAACUGGGCGUUAAGUUGCAGGGUAUAGACCCGAAACCCGGUGAUCUAGCCAUGGGCAGGUUGAAGGUUGGGUAACACUAACUGGAGGACCGAACCGACUAAUGUUGAAAAAUUAGCGGAUGACUUGUGGCUGGGGGUGAAAGGCCAAUCAAACCGGGAGAUAGCUGGUUCUCCCCGAAAGCUAUUUAGGUAGCGCCUCGUGAAUUCAUCUCCGGGGGUAGAGCACUGUUUCGGCAAGGGGGUCAUCCCGACUUACCAACCCGAUGCAAACUGCGAAUACCGGAGAAUGUUAUCACGGGAGACACACGGCGGGUGCUAACGUCCGUCGUGAAGAGGGAAACAACCCAGACCGCCAGCUAAGGUCCCAAAGUCAUGGUUAAGUGGGAAACGAUGUGGGAAGGCCCAGACAGCCAGGAUGUUGGCUUAGAAGCAGCCAUCAUUUAAAGAAAGCGUAAUAGCUCACUGGUCGAGUCGGCCUGCGCGGAAGAUGUAACGGGGCUAAACCAUGCACCGAAGCUGCGGCAGCGACGCUUAUGCGUUGUUGGGUAGGGGAGCGUUCUGUAAGCCUGUGAAGGUGUGCUGUGAGGUAUGCUGGAGGUAUCAGAAGUGCGAAUGCUGACAUAAGUAACGAUAAAGCGGGUGAAAAGCCCGCUCGCCGGAAGACCAAGGGUUCCUGUCCAACGUUAAUCGGGGCAGGGUGAGUCGACCCCUAAGGCGAGGCCGAAAGGCGUAGUCGAUGGGAAACAGGUUAAUAUUCCUGUACUUGGUGUUACUGCGAAGGGGGGACGGAGAAGGCUAUGUUGGCCGGGCGACGGUUGUCCCGGUUUAAGCGUGUAGGCUGGUUUUCCAGGCAAAUCCGGAAAAUCAAGGCCGAGGCGUGAUGACGAGGCACUACGGUGCUGAAGCAACAAAUGCCCUGCUUCCAGGAAAAGCCUCUAAGCAUCAGGUAACAUCAAAUCGUACCCCAAACCGACACAGGUGGUCAGGUAGAGAAUACCAAGGCGCUUGAGAGAACUCGGGUGAAGGAACUAGGCAAAAUGGUGCCGUAACUUCGGGAGAAGGCACGCUGAUACGUAGGUGAAGCGACUUGCUCGUGGAGCUGAAAUCAGUCGAAGAUACCAGCUGGCUGCAACUGUUUAUUAAAAACACAGCACUGUGCAAACACGAAAGUGGACGUAUACGGUGUGACGCCUGCCCGGUGCCGGAAGGUUAAUUGAUGGGGUUAGCGCAAGCGAAGCUCUUGAUCGAAGCCCCGGUAAACGGCGGCCGUAACUAUAACGGUCCUAAGGUAGCGAAAUUCCUUGUCGGGUAAGUUCCGACCUGCACGAAUGGCGUAAUGAUGGCCAGGCUGUCUCCACCCGAGACUCAGUGAAAUUGAACUCGCUGUGAAGAUGCAGUGUACCCGCGGCAAGACGGAAAGACCCCGUGAACCUUUACUAUAGCUUGACACUGAACAUUGAGCCUUGAUGUGUAGGAUAGGUGGGAGGCUUUGAAGUGUGGACGCCAGUCUGCAUGGAGCCGACCUUGAAAUACCACCCUUUAAUGUUUGAUGUUCUAACGUGGACCCGUGAUCCGGGUUGCGGACAGUGUCUGGUGGGUAGUUUGACUGGGGCGGUCUCCUCCUAAAGAGUAACGGAGGAGCACGAAGGUUGGCUAAUCCUGGUCGGACAUCAGGAGGUUAGUGCAAUGGCAUAAGCCAGCUUGACUGCGAGCGUGACGGCGCGAGCAGGUGCGAAAGCAGGUCAUAGUGAUCCGGUGGUUCUGAAUGGAAGGGCCAUCGCUCAACGGAUAAAAGGUACUCCGGGGAUAACAGGCUGAUACCGCCCAAGAGUUCAUAUCGACGGCGGUGUUUGGCACCUCGAUGUCGGCUCAUCACAUCCUGGGGCUGAAGUAGGUCCCAAGGGUAUGGCUGUUCGCCAUUUAAAGUGGUACGCGAGCUGGGUUUAGAACGUCGUGAGACAGUUCGGUCCCUAUCUGCCGUGGGCGCUGGAGAACUGAGGGGGGCUGCUCCUAGUACGAGAGGACCGGAGUGGACGCAUCACUGGUGUUCGGGUUGUCAUGCCAAUGGCACUGCCCGGUAGCUAAAUGCGGAAGAGAUAAGUGCUGAAAGCAUCUAAGCACGAAACUUGCCCCGAGAUGAGUUCUCCCUGACCCUUUAAGGGUCCUGAAGGAACGUUGAAGACGACGACGUUGAUAGGCCGGGUGUGUAAGCGCAGCGAUGCGUUGAGCUAACCGGUACUAAUGAACCGUGAGGCUUAACCUU